UACGUAGGGUGCGAGCGUUGUCCGGAAUUAUUGGGCGUAAAGAGCUCGUAGGCGGCCUGUUGCGUCUGCUGUGAAAGCCCGGGGCUUAACCCCGGGUCUGCAGUGGAUACGGGCAGGCUAGAGUUCGGCAGGGGAGACUGGAAUUCCUGGUGUAGCGGUGAAAUGCGCAGAUAUCAGGAGGAACACCGGUGGCGAAGGCGGGUCUCUGGGCCGAUACUGACGCUGAGGAGCGAAAGCGUGGGGAGCGAACAGGAUUAGAAACCCCCGUAGUCC
rnacentral:rRNA from 1 species